UACGUAGGGUGCAAGCGUUAAUCGGAAUUACUGGGCGUAAAGCGUGCGCAGGCGGUUGGCAAAGUCAGCUGUGAAAGCCCCGGGCUUAACCUGGGAAUGGCGGUUGAAACUAGUCGACUAGAAUCUGGCAGAGGGGGGUGGAAUUCCACGUGUAGCAGUGAAAUGCGUAGAGAUGUGGAGGAACACCGAUGGCGAAGGCAGCCCCCUGGGUCAAGAUUGACGCCCAUGCACGAAAGCGUGGGGAGCAAACAGG
rnacentral:rRNA from 1 species